rfam:Gossypium raimondii Chr04_contig_1394, whole genome shotgun sequence.
UAUUAAAAUUUUCAUCUAUUUGUAAUGUUAAAAACUGGCAUGACUGACAGAAUAAUCAGACAAUGACACAUGGCGUGUUACAUGUACGCCAUGCUACCAUAUAGAAGCCAAUUUUUAACCGUAAAAAGAGAUGAAAUUUUUAAUA